rnacentral:lncRNA from 1 species
UAAGAGUAUUUAUAAUAACUACUAGAAUUUAUUCGCCAUAUCUUGUAUAGAGUAUAUUGUAAUUUGAAAAGCCUAAGGAUCAAAGCUUUCUAAUAGUUAUCAUUUAAGUAAAAAAGAAAAAAAAAAAAGCUUAUCCUAUAACAAGUGAUUAAUGUGAUCAAUAAGUUAAAUCAAAAAGCUUAAAUAGAAGAGAGAUCUACAUCACUGGAUAAUCCAAUUGAUAUUGAAAACGAUAUAAAGAUUCCCAAAUUGAUUUUUUUAGUGCCAAAAGCCUAACUGAA